CGCCAGACUCCUACGGGAGGCAGCAGUGGGGAAUAUUGCACAAUGGGGGAAACCCUGAUGCAGCGACGCCGCGUGAGCGAUGAAGUAUUUCGGUAUGUAAAGCUCUAUCAGCAGGGAAGAAAAUGACGGUACCUGACUAAGAAGCCCCGGCUAACUACGUGCCAGCAGCCGCGGUAAUACGUAGGGGGCAAGCGUUAUCCGGAUUUACUGGGUGUAAAGGGAGCGUAGACGGCAAUGCAAGCCAGAUGUGAAAGCCCGGGGCUCAACCCCGGGACUGCAUUUGGAACUGUGUAGCUGGAGUGUCGGAGAGGCAGGCGGAAUUCCUAGUGUAGCGGUGAAAUGCGUAGAUAUUAGGAGGAACACCAGUGGCGAAGGCGGCCUGCUGGACGAUGACUGACGUUGAGGCUCGAAAGCGUGGGGAGCAAACAGGAUUAGAUACCCCAGUAUG
rnacentral:rRNA from 1 species